rnacentral:rRNA from 1 species
CCUACGGGAGGCAGCAGUGAGGAAUAUUGGUCAAUGGGCGCGAGCCUGAACCAGCCAAGUCGCGUGAGGGAAGACGGCCCUAUGGAUUGUAAACUUCUUUUGUCGGGGAGCAAAAGGCGCCACGCGUGGCGUUCCGAGAGUACCCGAAGAAAAAGCAUCGGCUAACUCCGUGCCAGCAGCCGCGGUAAUCCGGAGGAUGCGGGGGUUAUCCGGAUUUAUUGGGUUAAACGGGUGCGCAGCGGGAAGAGAAGGUCAGAGGUAAAAUCGAGGGGCUCACCCGCUGCGAGCCGUUGAAACUGGUUUGCGUGAGUGAAUGAGAGGUAUGCGGAAUGCGUGGUGUAGCGGUGAAAUGCGUAGAGAUCACGCAGAACACCGAUGGCGAAGGCAGCAUACCGGCGCUCAACUGACGCUCAUGCACGAAAGUGUGGGUAGCGAACAGGAUUAGAUACCCCGGUAGUC